rnacentral:tRNA from 1 species
GCCCGGGUGGUGAAAUUGGUAGACACAAGGGACUUAAAAUCCCUCGGUAUAAUAUACCGUGCCGGUUCGACUCCGGCCCUGGGCACCA